AAAAAAAAAAAAAAGCAAGGAAAAACAAGGAGCUGAGGUCUGUUGUACAUGUCACAGUGUUUUAAAAACUGUCUAUCAUUUGGUAACCAUGUCUUCCUCUCCUCUCUAAGGCAAAGCUUUAGAGGUUCAUCUUCUAAAAUCUAUGACAAGUGACCUUUGGUUUUAGUGGUUGAAAUUGUUACAAUCUGUAAGUCACAUGUCACAUAACAUAUGAAAAAGAAAAUCUGAUCUAUAAAUAAAAGGUUAUUUUAUUUAUUAAAAAACUUCUGGAAGAAAUAAAUUCAAAAUGCAACAAAUUGAUUUAAUCUGGCAAAAUUAUGGUUCAUUUCAGAUUCAUGUAUUGCUCAGUAAUGACUUUAUGCUUCCUAUCUUAUUCCCCAUUAUUCUCCUCUUGUUAAGGUCUUGGAUACAAAAUUCAUACAUAUUUAUCCAUUCUUAAUGACAUUGUCCUAAAAAUCUUUUAUGUUAGAUUUCUUUUGGAUAUUAAUCUCAUCAAAACUUCAUCAAAAUGCGAUAGUCAACAUUAAAAUUCCUAUCUUUCUCUACAAUAGAAAAAACAUUAUUAAUGUUCUAAGUUUAGUUUACUAAAAAUGCAAAUGUACUCUUCCCAGUCAAAAUUGCCCAGCAUCCUUACAAUUGUGACUUAGGCAGGCAGGUGGAAACGAUGUUAGUUUUAUUAGCAGCUUCUGGGCUAAAUGCCUUAGGUAACAGAAAUCAGAGGAAUGAUAUUGCAAUGACAUUGUCCUUUAACAAAGGAGUGAUGCUUAACAUGAGAAAUCUACAGUCUGGCCACUGAAAACUGAAGGAAAAUAACCACUGUUCAUUAUUGUGAAACAGGAGAAAACAAAGCAUCAUAAGUUAAAUAAGGUUUUUCCUUCCAGAACUGAAAAGCAAGUUAAUCCAAAUGACAGAUUGGAUGGACUUUCUUACAAAAUUGUGGGCUUCUCAUUUCUGGAUGUGCUCAGACAACAGAUGGACACUAAUCUAUGGGAAUCCUGCAGUAGGUGGAAGUUGUACCAGAUUGCAUUUGAUGAUUGAAGAAAAUUAUAAAAUUUGUUUGAUGUCAUUCUCAAUAUAUGUAAAGGACAUAUUUAAGACAAUUUUAUCAUAAACUGUAAAGGACAAAGGGGCUUAAAGGAAGCACAUCUGCUUCAUGGUUUUCCGCAGCCUAGCUUUGUCUGCUAUAUAGUCCACCCGGAAGAAGAGAGUCUAAUCACAACUACCCUGACAAGAAUGCUCCACAAUUCACAAGCUACGCCAUUCAUGGCCCUCAAUGAAGUCACUGGUCCAUGGCUCCUCACUCUGUUCUCUCUCUCCCUGCAUUUGUGUGUGCCUCUGGGUAUGGUGUGCCUCCCUCUCUAGGACCUGAGACACUUUGCUGAAAAUAGACCUACAUAAAUAGGAAUGUGGGAAAUCUACAUAUGUAGGAGCAGAAGAAAACCACAAUAGCCACCUGGAAAAAAUCAACCUAUAAAAAUCAGAUGUAUGAAGAAAAUUAAAAGCUUGAAAUAUAAAAACCAAGAUAGGCAAAGAUUAGAACUGACUCCGGAGGAAAAAACACUUAUCAAGAAAAUACAAGAUAAUUUAAAAAUAAUGUCACCAACACCAACAAUAGCA